UGGUUAGCGGCGAACGGUCGCGUAACACGUAGGCAACCUGCCCCAGAGACCGGGACAACACUCCGAAAGGGGUGCUAAUACCGGAUGUGGCCGACGGGAGUAUCUCCUGUCGUUUAAAUCAUCUUCGGAUGGCUCUGGGAGGGGCCUGCGGCCUAUCAGCUAGAUGGCGGGGUAACGGCUCACCAUGGCGACGACGGGUAGCUGGUCUGAGAGGAUGGUCAGCCGGACUGGGACUGAGAUACGGCCCAGACUCCUACGGGGGGCAGCAAUUAGGAAUCUUGCGCAAUGGGCGAAAGCCUGACGCAGCGACGCCGCGUGGGGGAGGAAGUCCUUCGGGAUGUAAACUCCUUUUGACAAGGAAGAAACAAAUGACGGUACUUGUCGAAUAAGCCCCGGCUAACUACGUGCCAGCAGCCGCGGUAAUACGUAGGGGGCGAGCGUUGUCCGAAGCUACUGGGCGUAAAGCGCGCGUAGGCGGGGUGUUAAGUCCGCUGUGAAAGCCCGGAGCUCAACUCCGGAGGGUCGGUGGAUACUGAUACUCUUGAAGGUGCUAGGGGGAGAUGGAAUUACCGGUGUAGCGGUGAAAUGCGUAGAGAUCGGUAGGAACACCAGUGGCGAAGGCGGUCUCCUGGGGCACACUUGACGCUGAGGC
rnacentral:rRNA from 1 species